rnacentral:rRNA from 1 species
UACAGAGGUGGCAAGCGUUGUUCGGAAUUACUGGGCGUAAAGGGCGCGUAGGCGGUUCGUUAAGUCCUGUGUGAAAUCCCCCGGCUCAACUGGGGAACUGCACAGGAAACUAGCGGGCUUGAGUUCGGGAGAGGGAAGCGGAAUUCCGGGUGUAGCGGUGAAAUGCGUAGAUAUCCGGAGGAACACCGGUGGCGAAGGCGGCUGCCUGGACCGACACUGACGCUGAGGCGCGAAAGCUAGGGGAGCAAACGGG